GGUGUCACCCAUGGAGAUGUCACCCCCGGAGGUGUCACCUGGCCACGGCGACGUCACCGGAAGCCAUGGAGAUGUCACCUGGGCGAGCGUCACCCAUCGCGGUGUCACCCAUAACCACCUCAUCAGUGUCACCCAUCGCGACGUCACCCAUCACGGCGGUGUCCCCUCCACGUCCCCGGAAGGGCCACCGAAGCGCCACAGCGACCUGCCAGGACCGGGGGGCAAACGGGCGCGGCUGGACGCCACCGGCAGCGGGGACAGCGCGGCCACCGGGUGAGUGGCGGCACCC
rnacentral:lncRNA from 1 species